CCUACGGGAGGCAGCAGUGAGGAAUAUUGGUCAAUGGGAGAGAUCCUGAACCAGCCAAGCCGCGUGAGGGAAGACGGCCCUAUGGGUUGUAAACCUCUUUUGUCGGAGAACAAAACCCAGGACGUAUCCCGGUCUGCAUGUAUCUGAAGAAAAAGCAUCGGCUAACUCCGUGCCAGCAGCCGCGGUAAUACGGAGGAUGCGAGCGUUAUCCGGAUUUAUUGGGUUUAAAGGGUGCGUAGGCGGUCCGUUAAGUCAGCGGUAAAAUUUCGGGGCUCAACCCCGUAGAGCCGUUGAAACUGGCAGACUUGAGUAGGCGAGAAGUAGGCGGAAUGCGCGGUGUAGCGGUGAAAUGCAUAGAUAUCGCGCAGAACUCCGAUUGCGAAGGCAGCGUACUGGCGUCAGACUGACGCUGAGGCACGAAAGUGUGGGGAUCGAACAGGAUUAGAUACCCCAGUAGUC
rnacentral:rRNA from 1 species